AGCGAACGCUGGCGGCGUGCCUAACACAUGCAAGUCGAACGUGAAAGGGAGCAAUCCCAAGUAAAGUGGCGUACGGGUGAGUAACAUGUAGGUAAUCUACCCCAGAAUCUGGAAUAACCGGCCGAAAGGCUGGCUAAUACUGGAUAGAGCGACGGAAUCCGUAAUUGGGUUUUUCGGGAAAGGGAGCCUGUAAAAAGGCCUUCGUUCUGGGAUGAGCCUGCGUCCCAUCAGCUAGUUGGUGAGGUAAAAGCUUACCAAGGCAAUGACGGGUAGCUGGUCUGAGAGGACGAUCAGCCACACUGGAACUGAAACACGGUCCAGACUCCUACGGGAGGCAGCAGUGGGGAAUCUUGCGCAAUGGACGAAAGUCUGACGCAGCAACGCCGCGUGAGUGAAGAAGGCCUUCGGGUUGUAAAGCUCUGUCGAGUGGGACGAAAAUGCUUGGAGUUCACAGCUCCAGGAACUGACGGUACCACUAAAGGAAGCACCGGCUAACUCCGUG
rnacentral:rRNA from 1 species